rnacentral:rRNA from 1 species
GCUUAACACAUGCAAGUCGAGGGGCAGCACAGGUAGCAAUACCGGGUGGCGACCGGCGCACGGGUGAGUAACGCGUAUGCAACUUGCCUAUCAGAGGGGGAUAACCCGGCGAAAGUCGGACUAAUACCGCAUGAAGCAGGGAUCCCGCAUGGGAAUAUUUGCUAAAGAUUCAUCGCUGAUAGAUAGGCAUGCGUUCCAUUAGGCAGUUGGCGGGGUAACGGCCCACCAAACCGACGAUGGAUAGGGGUUCUGAGAGGAAGGUCCCCCACAUUGGUACUGAGACACGGACCAAACUCCUACGGGAGGCAGCAGUGAGGAAUAUUGGUCAAUGGCCGAGAGGCUGAACCAGCCAAGUCGCGUGAGGGAUGAAGGUUCUAUGGAUCGUAAACCUCUUUUAUAAGGGAAUAAAGUGCGGGACGUGUCCCGUUUUGUAUGUACCUUAUGAAUAAGGAUCGGCUAACUCCGUGCCAGCAGCCGCGGUAAUACGGAGGAUCCGAGCGUUAUCCGGAUUUAUUGGGUUUAAAGGGUGCGUAGGCGGCCUUUUAAGUCAGCGGUGAAAGCCUGUGGCUCAACCAUAGAAUUGCCGUUGAAACUGGGGGGCUUGAGUAUGUUUGAGGCAGGCGGAAUGCGUGGUGUAGCGGUGAAAUGCAUAGAUAUCACGCAGAACCCCGAUUGCGAAGGCAGCCUGCCAAGCCAUGACUGACGCUGAUGCACGAAAGCGUGGGGAUCAAACAGGAUUAGAUACCCUGGUAGUCCACGCAGUAAACGAUGAUCACUAGCUGUUUGCGAUACACUGUAAGCGGCACAGCGAAAGCGUUAAGUGAUCCACCUGGGGAGUACGCCGGCAACGGUGAAACUCAAAGGAAUUGACGGGGGCCCGCACAAGCGGAGGAACAUGUGGUUUAAUUCGAUGAUACGCGAGGAACCUUACCCGGGUUUGAACGCAUUCGGACCGAGGUGGAAACACCUUUUCUAGCAAUAGCCGUUUGCGAGGUGCUGCAUGGUUGUCGUCAGCUCGUGCCGUGAGGUGUCGGCUUAAGUGCCAUAACGAGCGCAACCCUUGCCACUAGUUACUAACAGGUAAAGCUGAGGACUCUGGUGGGACUGCCAGCGUAAGCUGCGAGGAAGGCGGGGAUGACGUCAAAUCAGCACGGCCCUUACAUCCGGGGCGACACACGUGUUACAAUGGCGUGGACAAAGGGAAGCCACCUGGCGACAGGGAGCGAAUCCCCAAACCACGUCUCAGUUCGGAUCGGAGUCUGCAGCCCGACUCCGUGAAGCUGGAUUCGCUAGUAAUCGCGCAUCAGCCAUGGCGCGGUGAAUACGUUCCCGGGCCUUGUACACACCGCCCGUCAAGCCAUGGGAGCCGGGGGUACCUGAAGUCCGUAACCGCGAGGAUCGGCCUAGGGUAAAACUGGUGACUGGGGCUAA